AGGAGACAGAGGGCUUCGAUCCCACAAUCAACUAGUUAACAGCUAGCACACCUGACCAAUGGCACUGACUCC
rnacentral:tRNA from 1 species